UUUAACUAAUAUCCACCAACGGUACAAAGAACUUUUACAUUAUCAGGUCACCUUUAUUGUAUGUACCAGGUGGCCUGCUUUAUUCCCACUUUUUAUGGAGGGUUACCUGCAAAUUACUUAAUUUGAAUGACCUGAUUGUGUAAUUAUUUAUUUACACCGUCGCACAUAUAAGUUAAACUCAUAAAUGCAUACUGUGUGAUUCAAUAAUGAAACUAAUUGAAUUUUAUGCAAGAUUAAGCGCAAUACAACUAUUUUAAAAAAAAUAUGGCUACUACAGUGGACUGAAGAGCUUUCAUCUCCAUAGUUGGCCACAAAAUAAGUGAUAAAAUCAUUUGAAAACCUCAGUUAACCUUUAAACUCUGAUAGCAAAAGUAGGUACAACUCAUUGCAAGAUCUGACAAGAUACACAUUAUGACUAUGAUGCUAAGGCUAUUGACUGGAAAAUCCUCAAGCAACGCACUGGACACAUUCCAACACCGAGCCAUAAUCAACUUAAGACCAAAUUAGUGUAGUACUUUUUACAUACACAAAUGCAAUUCAAUUUAAGACCAAAACAUUACUUUUCACAACAAUUGAAUGCCAUUUAUAAUAGACCUAUAAAAGAAUACUGAUAAAAAACUGGAAUUACACUUAAGCGAAAAGCUCAUUGCUUGAUUGUUUUUCUAUAACGAAGAAGUAAAAACAACAAAAAAACAAGUUGAAACGAAAGUAAAGCUUACCCAGAUCGUACUUGAAGAGCAGGGUUUUGUUUUUUGGGAGAAUGUGGUCACAGAUCUGCAGGGUUUACUUCAUAAUCACUAUAUCUGUGUGUGUGUGUGUGUAAUCAGUGAGUAGAAAGAGAGAGAAAAGGAUAUAUCUAGAGUCGAAGAAAUAAUGAGAAAAAGUGGGGCCGCUUAAUACGACGACGUGUAUAUAAUAUAGUCAAUCAGAGAGAAGAGUUUCUUUGCCAGUUCUUAUUGGAAUUAUUUACGAAUAUGACACUGAGGCAACCUUGAGCACUGGUGUGGAGACUGGCAUUUGACUGACUAGGCC
rnacentral:lncRNA from 1 species